AGUGAACGCUGGCGGUAGGCCUAACACAUGCAAGUCGAACGGCAGCACAGGAGAGCUUGCUCUCUGGGUGGCGAGUGGCGGACGGGUGAGGAAUACAUCGGAAUCUACUCUGUCGUGGGGGAUAACGUAGGGAAACUUACGCUAAUACCGCAUACGACCUACGGGUGAAAGCAGGGGACCUUCGGGCCUUGCGCGAAUGAAUGAGCCGAUGUCGGAUUAGCUAGUUGGCGGGGUAAAGGCCCACCAAGGCGAGGAUCCGUAGCUGGUCUGAGAGGAUGAUCAGCCACACUGGAACUGAGACACGGUCCAGACUCCUACGGGUGGCAGCAGUGGGGAAUAUUGGACAAUGGGCGCAAGCCUGAUCCAGCCAUACCGCGUGGGUGAAGAAGGCCUUCGGGUUGUAAAGCCCUUUUGUUGGGAAAGAAAUCCAGCUGGCUAAUACCCGGUUGGGAUGACGGCACCCAAAGAAUAAGCACCGGCUAACUUCGUGCCAGCCGCCGCAGUAA
rnacentral:rRNA from 1 species